rnacentral:rRNA from 1 species
UACGUAGGGUGCGAGCGUUGUCCGGAAUUAUUGGGCGUAAAGAGCUUGUAGGCGGUUUGUCGCGUCUGCCGUGAAAAUCCGGGGCUCAACCCCGGACUUGCGGUGGGUACGGGCAGACUAGAGUGUGGUAGGGGAGACUGGAAUUCCUGGUGUAGCGGUGAAAUGCGCAGAUAUCAGGAGGAACACCGAUGGCGAAGGCAGGUCUCCGGGCCACUACUGACGCUGAGAAGCGAAAGCGUGGGGAGCGAACAGG